rnacentral:rRNA from 1 species
AGAGUUUGAUCAUGGCUCAGAAUGAACGUUGGCGGCGUGGAUUAGGCAUGCAAGUCGAACGAGUCUCUGGGGGGUAACUCCUAGAGGAAAGUGGCGAAAGGGGCAGUAAUGUAUGGGUAACCUACCUUGAGGUCCGGGAUAGCCAUUCUAACGGAUGGGUAAUACUGGACGGCCUGAGUUGUCGGCAUCGAUAAUUUAGUAAAGGUUACGCCUCGAGAGGGGCCCAUAUGAUAUUAGCUAGUUGGUGAGGUAAUGGCUCACCAAGGCAAAGAUGUCUAGCGGGUGUGAGAGCACGACCCGCGUCAUUGGCACUGAGACACUGGCCAAACUCCUACGGGAGGCUGCAGUCGAGGAUCUUCGGCAAUGGACGAAAGUCUGACCGAGCAACGCCGCGUGUGCGAUGAAGGCCUUCGGGUUGUAAAGCACUGUCGAGGGGAAACAAGCCGUAAGGUUGAGUGACCCCUGGAGGAAGCACGGGGCUAAAUUUCGUGCCAGCAGCCGCGGUAAGACAAACCGUGCAAACGUUAUUCGGAAUCACUGGGCUUUAAAGGGCGCGUAGGCGGGUGAUCAAGUCAAUGGUGAAAUCCUCCACGCCUCACCUGCGAGCAGUGCUUUUGAUACUGAAUGUUUAGAGGGAGGUAGGGGCAUGUGGGAUCUUCAGUGGAGCGGGUGAAAUGGCGUAGAUAUCUGAAGGAACGCCACGUGUCGAAAGCGAUUGUGCUGGACUCUCUUCUGACCCUGA